GGCCGAGGGACUUCCGGCGAGCUGAGGCGGGGGCGCACGGCGGCUCACGGCGGCUGAUCCGCGACCUAGGCUGGUCGGACAGCCUCCCAAACGUGAAGGCGAAUGAGGACAACGGCGAAUGAGGGAAGAGCAGCGGCGCGAGCGGGCGAAGGAGAACCGACGACGAGCUGGCUUCGGCGACUUCAGCGGCUCCGGUGGCCAAACGGCGGCGAUGGAGGCUCCGUCGGAUGGUGACUAGCAGCGGACGAAGGGAAGAGGGCGCAACGGAGGAACGACGAGCGCACA
rnacentral:lncRNA from 1 species